rnacentral:rRNA from 2 species
ACACAUGCAAGUCGAACGGUGAAGCUCAGCUUGCUNNNNGUGGAUCAGUGGCGAACGGGUGAGUAACACGUGAGCAAUCUGCCCCUGACUNUGGGAUAAGCGCUGGAAACGGCGUCUAAUACUGGAUACGAGCCGUGAAGGCAUCUUCAACGGUUGGAAAGAUUUUUCGGUCAGGGAUGAGCUCGCGGCCUAUCAGCUUGUUGGUGAGGUAAUGGCUCACCAAGGCGUCGACGGGUAGCCGGCCUGAGAGGGUGACCGGCCACACUGGGACUGAGACACGGCCCAGACUCCUACGGGAGGCAGCAGUGGGGAAUAUUGCACAAUGGGCGCAAGCCUGAUGCAGCAACGCCGCGUGAGGGAUGACGGCCUUCGGGUUGUAAACCUCUUUUAGCAGGGAAGAAGCGAAAGUGACGGUACCUGCAGAAAAAGCGCCGGCUAACUACGUGCCAGCAGCCGCGGUAAUACGUAGGGCGCAAGCGUUAUCCGGAAUUAUUGGGCGUAAAGAGCUCGUAGGCGGUUUGUCGCGUCUGCUGUGAAAUCCCGAGGCUCAACCUCGGGUCUGCAGUGGGUACGGGCAGACUAGAGUGCGGUAGGGGAGAUUGGAAUUCCUGGUGUAGCGGUGGAAUGCGCAGAUAUCAGGAGGAACACCGAUGGCGAAGGCAGAUCUCUGGGCCGUAACUGACGCUGAGGAGCGAAAGGGUGGGGAGCAAACAGGCUUAGAUACCCUGGUAGUCCACCCCGUAAACGUUGGGAACUAGUUGUGGGGUCCAUUCCACGGAUUCCGUGACGCAGCU